rnacentral:rRNA from 1 species
GUUUAGUUGCAAACAGGUCAAGCUGUGCACUCUAGACAGGACUGCCGUGGACAACACGGAGGAAGGUGGGGAUGACGUCAAAUCAUCAUGCCCCUUAUGAUCUGGGCUACACACGUGCUACAAUGGCCGGUACAACGGGCAGCGAAGGAGCGAUCCGGAGACGAAUACCUAAAAAGCCGGUCCCAGUUCGGAUUGCAGGCUGAAACUCGCCUACAUGAAGUUGGAGUUGCUAGUAAUCGCGAAUCAGAAUGUCGCGGUGAAUGCGUUCCCGGGCCUU